UACGUAGGGUGCAAGCGUUGUCCGGAAUUAUUGGGCAUAAAGGGCUCGUAGGCGGUCCAUCGCGUCGGGAGUGAAAAGCUGGGGCUUAACCCCAGUCCUGCUUCCGAUACGGGUGGACUAGAGGUAGGUAGGGGAGAACGGAAUUCCUGGUGUAGCGGUGAAAUGCGCAGAUAUCAGGAGGAACACCGGUGGCGAAGGCGGUUCUCUGGGCCGUACCUGACGCUGAGGAGCGAAAGCAUGGGGAGCAAACAGG
rnacentral:rRNA from 1 species